rnacentral:lncRNA from 1 species
UAAGAAGACGAUCAAUAAAGGAGAUCCAACGGACUCACACUGCUUAUAAUUUAUUCUCGAGAAGUUUUUGGUCGCAAACAUAUAAAGCACUAUAAGAUGGUUUCCAAGUCUUUGCACACGUCUCACACAAUCGCAGGUUCAUAGUAGUAACUAGAAAUUCACCAUGUCAUCGUGGGGCUGUUCACUCUCAAACCUUUUUGCACUGUAUGAAUUUAUUAGGGCAGCGGACGCAUCAACGCUUGAGGUUUGUAUCUUUGACAACAGUAACAGGGCAUGGUGCAUGUGACAGAACAUAGCUCGAUACACUGCCCAGUAAAAUCCUGCAGAAACAUUAAAGAAGAAACACGUGAGAUAAAGAGGUAAAUACUAGUGAGAUUAAUAUGUUGCUGUGGUUGAAGUUUAACUUUCAACAGAUAUGUGGAGUAAAUUUAUGCAUCAAAGCUGCAUAUAACAUUCUCAGGUUUGUUGAAAGAAAAAAAAAUGUUGCUUAACAGUAUCAACCAAAAAUUUCAGCCCCUUUAUAAUUAGCUAAGAACAUGAUGUUUCAAUUAUUUGGAGUCGAUCUUUUAUCAUCGACUCCAUAAAAGAUAUAUUUUAAGUGAAUUAAGAGCAUUAAAGAUUUUUAUUUAUACCCUCCAGUAAAAUGUUCACGUCUCUUCUACCUUCUUGUAUCAUGUAUACUAAUUCUCUUAGCACAUUUUCAUAUCAUUUACGUAAUUCUUUCUCAUUUUAUUCCUUAAACAUAGCAUCUUAAACAUCCAUAGGUCUUUCUCAUUUUUGCACAAAUUCAUAACUUCUACAAUGACUCGUUAGUUUCUAUCUUCUUCUAAUUUUAGACAUAUCCACUUCAACAUUCUAAUUUCAUAGACAAAUAUUUUAUAUAUGUUAACUAUUUAACUACCUACCGUUCAGAUUUUUAAAGCAUCAUUGACCUACAAGAUAACCACUAAGCAUUCAAUAUGAACUGAAGAUAAGAAGAACCAAGUAAAUAACAUCACAAAUGGUGUCAGAGCAAACAUCCAGUGUGUAGUACAUAAGAGCCUUGUGAAGCCAGUGUAUAUAUGAACCUCUCUACUCUUUCAUUUUGACACAUUUAUAACUGAUCCAAGGUUUACUCUUCCAAAUUGUACCUUGACAAAUGUGUCUCAGAUAGGUGUUUCAGACCAAAGGUGUAUCUUAUUAGUUGCAACCACUUCUAGGCAUGACCUUUAAUAGCAAUUAGCCUUUUGAUUCCCUUCAAUGGCACGGAGUUUAAUCACAAUAAUGAGGCGUAUAGAGCCUUUCCCACGGCCCUAUCAUUAAUUAUCACCAUUAUUUAUUUUCUUAUCUUCUUAUUGUUUCAUCAUACUAACUCAUGAUCAGGCUAAUUUGGAAAAUAAAAAUGGGAUGCAAGCGAGAAUGAUAUAUCAUCCUAGUUUGGCAAAUGCAUUAGGGUUUCUGUUAGAGAAAACAAAUAAAACAAAUCCAAGCCUAAAUAUGAAAACAACACCAUACAAAAUUUUUUGUAGGAUACAGCUUGGUUCAACAUGGAGCCUCACAAGCUUUGAGCAACAUCACUGAACUCAUAUGCCAUUUUGCAGAGACUGAGGCUGCAAAUUAACAUAUUCAGUGGAUAAGUUUAAGUUCCAUACUUACUAGUAAACAGUUCCCACUCAGUUUUCCGUUUCUUGGAAUCAAAUAAGGAAACCAUUUCAAUUUAUUUCUAAGCUUUAGGAAAAUUGGACAUUUUUCUAAUCCAACUCAUAACAUGAUUUCCAUGAUUAUUAGGAAAUGCUUAGCUAAACGAUCUAGACUCAUAAAUGCAUCCCUCAUCUUCUAUAGACAAAAUCAUCUGCAAUUAUAACUAUCAAAGGGGAAAUAAAUCAUUGCAAAAGUAUGUCAGAUACAAAAUGACAAAAAGCUAGUAACAAAAUCAUAAUGCUCCAUAUGGAUCGGCCUAAAUAGGUGUUAACCCCAAAAUUACUACAAUUAAUUAACUACUUAAAAGAAUAUUGAAGAUAAUCUCAGAAAUCCCUUAUGCACAGUGCACAUCCUCGAUUUUGACCUUCAGACAGAUUUGAGUCACCUCAAUAGUAUAGGGGGGGGGGGGGGGG